ensembl:lncRNA
GCAUUUCUCCUGUAUUCAGCUUUCCCUUUAAAAUGAUUCGUACAAUCAGCUAGUAGAACUUGACAGACUCUAAAGCUAAGUGAUUGAAUCUUUCUCUCUUCAUCUCUUUUGAUUAACAUAAAAGCAGAUUAGACCAAUCCCAUUAGACAUCAACCCAGUCACCUUCUGACCAUAUGGUGUAAAGCUCCUCUGUCCCUACAUCCACUUUGACACACUGAUUUCUAUUUCUGUCAACCCCACACAUCUCUCUCCCACACGAGAAUCUCCCAGUGAGUCUAACCCUGCAGACCAUAUGGAGCCACAGCAGGAUUUUUGGUGCUGAGUCUGAACGAGGAGGGGCAGAGUGGUGACAGGUUUCUGGUUACCUUGCAGAUGCAGUCCUGAACCAAGAAAAGCUUAACUGCCCAACUGAAAUCAUGCACUAUCUACAACAGCAGUCAUCCCGCUUCAACUCCUGAAUCAAACCUAGAAAUUCUCCCUGCUGAUUCCUUCUUGUGAAAACUGGAUAAACCUAGGAUCUCCUUUUCCUCCUUUUCUUGUUUAGAAACAUCGGGAUCAUAUAUAUGUGUUACACAACCAGAAAAUGUGGUUGUUUGCAGUGUGUAAAGGCCUUUGUGGUCCAACAUCUCCGCUCUACAGUCCAGAGGACACUCAAGUCUUGUGGUUUGUUCAGAUGCCACUUUGUAAAGCUAAGCCGUGCUACCACGUUCUUUUGAGAGAGAAGAGCCUUUCUCCUGGCAACCCUUUCAAAGGAGCUGUACUUGUUUAGUCUUUUGCUAAUUGUACUGUCAUCAACUUUAACAUUGCUGGCUGAGGGCUCUGAUAUGUAGCUUGUGGGUUUUCUGCAGAUUAUUAUACAGCCAUAGACUGAAUUUGUUGCGACACUCACAGGUGGAAAUGCUCCAGACAAGCAAACUGCAAACAACAAAAUAUCUGCUUUCACAGAAAUGCUCACAUUUGCUGAUGAUCAGGUGCUGAAAUGCAUUUGAUUAGUAGCUCCUGGCUGCUACUUAUACCCUCUUAAAACCUGUGGAAGCAGUACUUUAAAAUACAUAAAAAGUGAAGCCCUACCUCCAGUUGUUUCUUGCCAUGUAGCCAGUUUUCAGAAAUUCAGUUCAUUUGUCUCAGAUUUCUGUCUUGCUC